AUGGAGGAUACCGCUGCUACACACCGCUAUCCCGCCUGGGUUCUCCUCGAGGAGGAUGCCCGCUACGACGACCGCGAGAACGCCACCACCGCCGAAGCCAAGACGAGGGCCGGCCACGUCGUCAGGGUGACCUUCUUUCUCGCAGACCCGCCGGCCGUCUCCUACUUAUGCGUCCACGGCAGCCCCGAACUCAAGCGCGGGGACUACUCCCUUGAGCCCCGGGUGGUUUUCUCGGAGAAACACCUCGUCCUCCUCCGCUUCUUCACCAUCGGCCCCUGUAGCACCUUGGACAAUUCUCUCUCCGAAUACUUCGUCUACAGAGCCAGCCCUGGCAAGCCUUCGCUUAGGCGGAUCCCGACCGCCACUCGUCGGCCUGACAAGGCUAGAUCGUAUCCCGCCAUCCUGCCGUUCGCCGACGACGAUGACAACUUCCUCGUCGCCGAUCUCGCCCUGACACCGACCCUUGGGCACUAUGUCCUCCACACCUUCUCGUCCAAGACGAACAAGUGGACCGCCAAGCCGUUGCAGUUGCAUGCAUCUCCGGCCGUGAGGGACGACCUGCCCAGCCUACCCCACAAGGUGAUCGCGCUUGGAGCUGACACCGUAGGCUGGAUCGACCUCUGGCGAGGCAUCGUCGUCUGCAACGUGUUCGACCCGGACCCCGUUCUCCGCUUCAUCCCGCUGCCCAAGCCUGGGUUCAACUUGCUGCGGCAAGGUGACCCGCGGCCAUGCCGUGACGUCGCCUUCCAUGAUGGGCUUAUCAAGUUCGUCGAGGUGGAGCAUUUUGAAAGACCCGCUAGUCCCGACAGCGACGACGACGAUGAGACGAAUUUCAAGACGACCGCGGAUCUUGACGACGUAGAUGUCAUCCAUGAUUCGGAGCUCUACUUCAAGAGCUAUGCACAUCUAAUGGAAGAUGAACCCGGUUAUGUCUCUGAUGGCUGGAAGAUACGGACAUGUUACAGGCAUGCUUCCUGGGACCAUUGGCGCAAGGGUCACAGCGUCCAUGUCGAUGACAUCUUGGUCAACAACCCGAUGCACCAAAUGAUGCUGCCUGCGCUGUGGGAUGGUACCGCGCGAAAAUACACAUUGAGGAGUCUGACGACAGUUUGCCCGACACUCACGAUCCAUGGUGGGGAUGUUGUCUACCUUGUUCCUAUGGUGGAGGUUGGCAAGGGCUCCUUGCUUGGUGUCGACCUUGGCAAGAAGACAGUGGAAGUAGUUGAACCAUACUCUGCCGGGAGAUUUGGCCUGCACCUUGCCCUUGCCUGUACAUUCUCCGGUUAUCUCAAUACAACUCCAAGGCAUGUUUUUUUAUGUACGAAAUGA
rnacentral:rRNA from 1 species